rfam:Salmo salar isolate Sally breed double haploid chromosome ssa29, whole genome shotgun sequence.
GGGAUGCAUGACUGUAAAUCGCUUUGGAUAAAAGCGUCUGCUAAAUGGCGUAUA